rnacentral:rRNA from 1 species
AUGGACAUGGGCGAGCUCUUCAACCCAGGCUGCGGCGGGGCGGGCGGCGCCGGCUGCGACUGCGGUGACUGCGAGGAGUGGAGGCGCUACUGCUACUGGAACCACGACCACGGCACCAAGCAGUUCCUCCUCUUCGCCUCCGACGACAAAGAUCAUCUGUGCAUACCGUGGGAGGUCUCAAGCCAGCUGAGAGAUAUGAUCCCCGACUCCGAGCCUAUCAAACUUGAAACUCCUGAUGGUCGCACGUACAGUGUUAAAUUCUUCAAGUUCGGCCGGAUAACUCUUACGACUGGGUGGCGGGGCUUUGUGGAUGCAAAUCACAUAGAAGAGAACAACCCCAUGUUGUUCGUGUACCGUGGGAAUUCAACCUUUAAGGUUCAAAUAUUCAAUUCAUCCGGCCGCGACAAGUUUUUGCCCUGUUCUCAACCACCUUGCAAUCAUCAUGUGCUGAAUGAACAAGUGGUGCCUCAUCCUGGACAUGUUGAUAGCUCAGCCCACUUUGGCUAUACCAUGUUGCCCGGGAGCUUUGUAACCAAAGCACAAGAUGAUAAAUUGCUAGAAUGGGCUAAUACCAUCAAGUCUGAAUUUCCUCUUUUUGUGGCAGCCAUGGACGAGAGCAAUGUCAGCUUGAGCGACUGCCAUGUUUACAUACCACUGAGUCUUGUGGGCCAGUUCAAAGAGGAGGUUGUCAAGAUUGUAGCCCUUGACAAGAGUAUAUACGUUGUUGGAGCAAAGAAGCACAAUGAGGAUCAAAUCGUACUCCAAUCUGGGUGGCAUAGGUUUGUGGCUUCUCAGUGCAUACAACAGAAUGACUUCCUCAUUUUCAUAAUUGAGGGGGAAGCUCGCCUCAAAGUUCUUGUCCUUGACCCAAGCGGUAGUGAGAAAACUUUUGCCAUGGGAAACUCUUCCAAUGCCCAAGAAAAGCCACCACUCCCACCUACAGUUACUAACCAGAGUUCUGACAAUGAACUUACUGACCUGAGUUCUGAUUAUGAAGUCCUGGGAAAAGACACUACAACGUCAAGGAGGGAGCAGAGGCCGCUACGAAGCUGUCGUGCAAAAGCUGAGAAGAUGGGUUCAACAUCCUGCCCUUCUACUAAAUCAGAUCAUAGACACAAAGCUGGCAACUCGAAUGAAGCCGGUAUAGAAGCUCCUAUGCCCAACAAGUCCUACAUAGUGCCCCAAGCAGGGGCGACGAAGCUAACUGUGCAACAGGAGGAGAAAGUUAAGGAGAAGGUCCGGGCGAUUGGAUCUGAAUUCCCUGUCUUUGUGAAGGUGAUGACGGCAUACGAUGUUUCGAAGAUGGCACAUCUGGCCUUCUGCAUGGAGUAUGCUUCGGCGUGUCGUCUCCCGCUCGAACAAACACCUCUCCUACUUAGGCUGGAGGGUAGCAAUAUGCGGUGGAGUAGCGCGCUGAUGAUCCAGCAAAAUAAUAAUGUGAGGCGGAUUUGCUCAUUCUGGCAGGACAUUGUCUCGCAAGCCGGGACGAAGGAGGGAGACAUCCUCCUCGUCGAACUGGCAGGCAGGAGCAGCAGGAGGCUCAGGAUGACGGUCCAUCUGAUCCGCAAGUCGGAAUGCAGCUCUAGCUCUUGCUCUCAAGCAUCUAGUUAG